GCAUUCUUAAUUUAAUGGUUAAAAUAGUAGAUUUCGGACCUUCAAAUAUUGGUUCAAUUCCAAUAGAAUGUU
rnacentral:tRNA from 1 species